GACGAACGCUGGCGGCGUGCUUAACACAUGCAAGUCGAACGGAAAGGCCCUGCUUUUGUGGGGUGCUCGAGUGGCGAACGGGUGAGUAACACGUGAGUAACCUGCCCUUUACUUUGGGAUAACUUCAGGAAACUGGGGCUAAUACCGGAUAGGAGCUCCUGCUGCAUGGUGGGUGUUGGAAAGUUUCGGCGGUUGGGGAUGGACUCGCGGCUUAUCAGCUUGUUGGUGGGGUAGUGGCUUACCAAGGCUUUGACGGGUAGCCGGCCUGAGAGGGUGACCGGCCCCAUUGGGACUGAGAUACGGCCCAGACUCAUACGGGAGGCAGCAGUGGGGAAUAUUGCACAAUGGGCGGAAGCCUGAUGCAGCAACGCCGCGUGCGGGAUGACGGCCUUCGGGUUGUAAACCGCUUUCGCCUGUGACGAAGCGUGAGUGACGGUAAUGGGUAAAGAAGCACCGGCUAACUACGUG
rnacentral:rRNA from 1 species